UACAGAGGGUGCGAGCGUUGUCCGGAAUCACUGGGCGUAAAGGGCGCGUAGGCGGCUUGGUAAGCGUGCGGUGAAAGCUCGGGGCUCAACCCCGAGUCUGCCGUGCGAACUGCCGGGCUGGAGCACGGUAGAGGCACAUGGAAUUCCGGGUGUAGCGGUGGAAUGCGUAGAGAUCCGGAAGAACACCGGUGGCGAAGGCGGUGUGCUGGGCCGUUGCUGACGCUGAGGCGCGACAGCGUGGGGAGCAAAC
rnacentral:rRNA from 1 species